UGAGGCUUCGAGGAUCAUCCCGUUUUCGUCUCUUUCCCCCCCCCUUUUCUUCCUGGUUUUCGAUUUUAAAAUCUCUUUUUUUUUGACAAAGCGUUGUUCUCCGGUUGGCCGUGUUGGUGUGUAACGAAUCCUUAAGGUCUUUCUGGAUGCAAUUGUGAACUUGGAGGAAAUUAUGAUCACGUUCAGAGUUAUAGGUGGCAGUCGAGGUGGUGGUCUUCAGGGGGUCUCUGGUGAGGGUGUACAUGGAUAUCUCGGUCGAGGGCAGCGUGUUGAAGCCUUUGAGGCCGACGGGCGAGGCGUCCCUGGAGUGCGAGGGUUCCGUGGAGCGGGAGCUCGACCGGCUACGCCGCCGGUAACGAUACCGGUAGCUGGGGAUCCGAGUGAUGGCGGAGGACUGCAGCGCCUCCCAAAUUUGUGGUCUCCACCACCUAGAAGGACGUGAGCAACAAGCGAACGGGAACACCAUUGUCUCCAAGCUCCCGUCUAAGUCACGCACUAUCCUGACUGGGGCAUGUAUCGGUCAUUCCUUCAUUAUCUCUGCUUCAAAAUCCUGGAUCUGAACUCCCUUCCCGACAGCACUGUGGGUGCAGCUUCACCACAAAGACUGCAGCGAUUCAAUAAGGUGACACACCACCACCUUCCCAGGGAGCAACCAGAGA